AUUGAACGCUGGCGGCAGGCUUAACACAUGCAAGUCGAGCGGAGAUGAGGUGCUUGCACCUUAUCUUAGCGGCGGACGGGUGAGUAAUGCUUAGGAAUCUGCCUAUUAGUGGGGGACAACAUUCCGAAAGGAAUGCUAAUACCGCAUACGUCCUAUGGGAGAAAGCAGGGGAUCUUCGGACCUUGCGCUAAUAGAUGAGCCUAAGUCGGAUUAGCUGGUUGGUGGGGUAAAGGCCUACCAAGGGGACGAUCUGUAGCGGGUCUGAGAGGAUGAUCCGCCACACUGGGACUGAGACACGGCCCAGACUCCUACGGGAGGCAGCAGUGGGGAAUAUGGGACAAUGGGGGAACCCUGAUCCAGCCAUGCCGCGUGUGUGAAGAAGGCCUUAUGGUUGUAAAGCACUUUAAGCGAGGAGGAGGCUACUGAGACUAAUACUCUUGGAUAGUGGACGUUACUCGCAGAAUAAGCACCGGCUAACUCUGUGCCAGCCGCCGCGGUAAAAC
rnacentral:rRNA from 1 species